GGCCUGAUGGUCUAGUAGUAUGAUUCCUUGUUAGGGUGGUUCUCUUAAACCAAUGCCACAUCGAGGAGGUCCCGGGUUCAAUUCCCGGUCAGGCCC